GCCAAUGGAAACCGGACACAGCAGUAG
rnacentral:piRNA from 1 species